CAAUAAGAUUCACAGACAUGAUGA
rnacentral:siRNA from 1 species